rnacentral:rRNA from 1 species
GACGAACGCUGGCGGCGUGCCUAAUACAUGCAAGUAGAACGCUGAAGGAGGAGCUUGCUUCUCCGGAUGAGUUGCGAACGGGUGAGUAACGCGUAGGUAACCUGCCUGGUAGCGGGGGAUAACUAUUGGAAACGAUAGCUAAUACCGCAUAACAGUAGAUGUUGCAUGACAUUUGCUUAAAAGGUGCACUUGCCUCACUACCAGAUGGCCCUGCGUUGUAUUAGCUAGUUGGUGAGGUAACGGCUCACCAAGGCGACGAUACAUAGCCGACCUGAGAGGGUGGUCGGCCACACUGGGACUGAGACACGGCCCAGACUCCUACGGGAGGCAGCAGUAGGGAAUCUUCGGCAAUGGACGGAAGUCUGACCGAGCAACGCCGCGGGAGUGAAGAAGGGUUUCGGAUCGUAAAGCUCUGUUGUAAGAGAAGAACGAGUGUGAGGGUGGAAAGUUCACACUGUGACGGUAGCUUACCAGAAAGGGACGGCUAACUACGUG